GACGAACGCUGGCGGCGUGCUUAACACAUGCAAGUCGAACGGAAAGGCCCUGCUUUUGUGGGGUGCUCGAGUGGCGAACGGGUGAGUAACACGUGAGUAACCUGCCCUUGACUUUGGGAUAGCUUCAGGAAACUGGGGCUAAUACCGUAUAGGAGCUCCUGCUGCAUUGUGGGGGUUGGAAAGUUUCGGCUGUUGGGGAUGGACUGGCGGCUUAUCAGCUUGUUGGUUGGGUAGUGGCUUACCAAGGCUUUGACGGGUCGCCGGCAUGAGAGGGUGACCGGGGACAAUGGGACUGAGAUACGGCGCAGAGUGGUACGGGAGGCAGCAGGGGGGAAUAUGGCACAAUGAGCGGACGUCGGAGGAAGCAACGUUGCGGGUGGGAUGACGGUUUGCGGGGUGUGAACCGCUGUCGGCUGUGACGAAGCGUGAGUGACGGUAACGGGUAAAGAAGCACCGGCUAACUACGUG
rnacentral:rRNA from 1 species